CCCCUAGAUGUUCUGGGCCGCACGCGCGCUACACUGAACAGUUCAACAAGUCUUAACCUUGGCCGAUAGGUCUGGGUAAUCUUUGAACGCUGUUCGUGAUUGGGAUAGACCUUUGCAAUUAUGGGUCUUCAACGAGGAAUUCCUAGUAAACGCAAGUCAUCAGCUUGCAUUGAUUACGUCCCUGCCCUUUGUACACACCGCCCGUCGCACCUACCGAUUGAACGUUUUAGUGAGGUAUUUGGACUGGACCUUCGGAGGUUCGCGCCUCCGUUGCUGUUCGGGAAGACUCCCAAACUUGAGCGUUUAGAGGAAGUAAAAGUCGUAACA
rnacentral:rRNA from 1 species